GGAUUACUAGUGAAAUAUCACAUUGCCUUGUCAAGGCAAAAUUGUGGGUUAAAGUCCCACGUAGUCCU
rnacentral:tRNA from 1 species